rnacentral:rRNA from 1 species
UACGUAGGUGGCAAGCGUUAUCCGGAAUUACUGGGCGUAAAGCGCACGCAGGCGGCCUUUUAAGAUUGACGUGAAAGCUCCUGGCUUAACCGGGAGAGGUCGUUGAAGACUGGAAGGCUUGAGACGAUGAGAGGGGUGCAGAAUUCCCGGUGUAGUGGUGGAAUGCGUAGAUAUCGGGGAGGAAUACCAGUGGCGAAGGCGGCACCCUGGCAUCGGUCUGACGCUCAUGUGCGAAGGCGUGGGGAGCGAACGGG